rnacentral:rRNA from 1 species
CCUCGGGUGGCUGCAGUGGGGAAUAUUGGACAAUGGGCGAAAGCCUGAUCCAGCCAUGCCGCGUGUGUGAAGAAGGCCUUCGGGUUGUAAAGCACUUUCAGUGGGGAAGAAAGCCUUGGGGCUAAUACCCUCGAGGAAGGACAUCACCCACAGAAGAAGCACCGGCUAACUCCGUGCCAGCAGCCGCGGUAAUACGGAGGGUGCGAGCGUUAAUCGGAAUUACUGGGCGUAAAGCGCGCGUAGGCGGUCUGAUAAGCCGGUUGUGAAAGCCCCGGGCUCAACCUGGGAACGGCAUCCGGAACUGUCAGGCUAGAGUGCAGGAGAGGAAGGUAGAAUUCCCGGUGUAGCGGUGAAAUGCGUAGAGAUCGGGAGGAAUACCAGUGGCGAAGGCGGCCUUCUGGACUGACACUGACGCUGAGGUGCGAAAGCGUGGGUAGCAAACAGGAUUAGAUACCCCAGUAGUC